rnacentral:rRNA from 1 species
AGUGAACGCUGGCGGUAGGCCUAACACAUGCAAGUCGAACGGCAGCACAGUAAGAGCUUGCUCUUACGGGUGGCGAGUGGCGGACGGGUGAGGAAUACAUCGGAAUCUACUUUUUCGUGGGGGAUAACGUAGGGAAACUUACGCUAAUGCCGCAUACGACCUACGGGUGAAAGCAGGGGAUCUUCGGACCUUGCGCGAUUGAAUGAGCCGAUGUCGGAUUAGCUAGUUGGCGGGGUAAAGGCCCACCAAGGCGACGAUCCGUAGCUGGUCUGAGAGGAUGAUCAGCCACACUGGAACUGAGACACGGUCCAGACUCCUACGGGAGGCAGCAGUGGGGAAUAUUGGACAAUGGGCGCAAGCCUGAUCCAGCCAUACCGCGUGGGUGAAGAAGGCCUUCGGGUUGUAAAGCCCUUUUGUUGGGAAAGAAAAGCAGCAGGUUAAUACCCCGCUAUUCUGACGGUACCCAAAGAAUAAGCACCGGCUAACUUCGUG